GAAAUGCGAUAAGUAAUGUGAAUUGCAGAAUUCAGUGAAUCAUCGAAUCUUUGAACACACCUUGCGCUCCUUGGUAUUCCUUGGAGCAUGCCUGUUUGAGUAUCAUGAAAUCUUCAAAGUAAAUCUUUUGUUAACUCAAUUGGUUUCUACUUUGGUAUUGGAGGUCUUUGCAGCUUCACACCUGCUCCUCUUUGUUCAUUAGCUGGAUCUCAGUGUUAUGCUUGGUUCCACUCGGCGUGAUAAGUUAUCUAUCGCUAAGGACACUGUAAAAGGUGGCCAAGGUAAAUGCAGAUGAACCGCUUCUAAUAGUCCAUUGACUUGGACAAUACUUUUAUGAUCUGAUCUCAAAUCAGGUAGGACUACCCGCUGAACUUAAGC
rnacentral:misc_RNA from 1 species